rnacentral:rRNA from 1 species
UACGGGGGGGGCAAGCGUUGUUCGGAAUUACUGGGCGUAAAGGGCUCGUAGGUGGCCAACUAAGUCAGACGUGAAAUCCCUCGGCUUAACCGGGGAACUGCGUCUGAUACUGGAUGGCUCGAGUUUGGGAGAGGGAUGCGGAAUUCCAGGUGUAGCGGUGAAAUGCGUAGAUAUCUGGAGGAACACCGGUGGCGAAGGCGGCAUCCUGGACCGGUAUUGACGCUGAGGCGCGAAAGCUAGGGGAGCAAACGGG